GUAAUGCUUAGGAAUCUGCCUAUGAGUGGGGGACAACAUCUCGUACGGGAUGCUAAUACCGCAUACGUCCUACGGCAGAAAGCAGGGGACCUUCGGGCCUUGCGCUAGUAGAUGAGCCUAAGUCGGAUUAGCUAGUUGGUGGGGUAGAGGCCUAGCAAGGCGACGAUCUGUAGCGGGUCUGAGAGGAUGAUCCGCCACACUGGGACUGAGACACGGCCCAGACUCCUACGGGAGGCAGCAGUGGGGAAGAUUGGACAAUGGGGGGAACCCUGAUCCAGCCGUGCCGCGUGUGUGAAGAAGGCCUUUUGGUUGUAAAGCACUUUAAGCGAGGAGGAGGCUACCGAGAUUAAUACUCUUGGAUAGUGGACGUUACUCGCAGAAUAAGCACCGGCUAACUCUGUGCCAGCAGCCGCGGUAAUACAGAGGGUGCAAGCGUUAAUCGGAUUUACUGGGCGUAAAGCGCGCGUAGGUGGCCAAUUAAGUCAAAUGUGAAAUCCCCGACCUUAACUUGGGAAUUGCAUUCGAUACUGGUUGGCUAGAGUAUGGGAGAGGAUGGUAGAAUUCCAGGUGUAGCGGUGAAAUGCGUACACAUCUGGAGGAAUACCGAUGGCGAAGGCAGCCAUCUGUCCUAAUACUGACGCUGAAGUGCGAAAGCAUGGCGAGCAGGCACGAUUAGAUACCCUGCUAG
rnacentral:rRNA from 1 species